GUUAUGUAUAUGUGUUUAUUUAUAUAUAUGUUUAUUUUCUGUAUUUAUAUUUUGGGAGCUUUUAUUUUGUUUGUGUGACCUUUGACUUCCCAUGAAGUCACUUCCUGUAGCUGCGCGCUAUUUUCCUCAGUCGCCUAGAGGCCCCGCUGAGGAGAGGUGAGCGUACGCUAGUGUUCUCAGUUACAGAGCAAAUAAACACAGUUAAAGUAACUAAAAGUAAUUCAAACACUGCUCGUUCCCUUUGUGCAUUUUGUCUCAUAGUUCUGUUAGAUAUUUUAGUGUGAAUUAAUGUUUCUCUGUCGAGUACAGCACUUUAUUGUAACAUGCUAGUUAGCAUGUCUCAGAUGAGAGCAUAGGAGCAUGCACGUGGCUUCUCAUGUGGUCCGCUAUCCUUCUCUCUCCCUUGAAGGUGUUCAUGCAGAAGUCCAGUAAAGUGAAGUUGCUGUACUGUUUUGUUUUUAUUUUAAACAGGUAUGUGAGCUCCCUCUUUUAUUUUUGUGUCAUGUGAACUGGUUAUAUCUUCUGUUUGUUUGUGAUUCAUGUUCACUGUUUCAACUUACUGUAAAUAUGUAAAAUUGCCACUGGUAAAUGAAGUCUCCCUAAAGUAUAAUUUUGUUGAUGAGGUAAUUGUCACUAUAUGUUCACGAUGCAGUGCAUUUUUGUUUGUUAUAUAUGAAUAUAAAUACAUUUUAGCAGUAUUAUUUGGUAAUUGGAUUUGUUGUAAUGUUGCACCUCAGUCGCCUAGAGGCCCCGCUGAGGAGAGGUGAGCGUACGCUAGUGUUCUCAGUUACAGAGCAAAUAAACACAGUUAAAGUAACUAAAAGUAAUUCAAACACUGCUCGUUCCCUUUGUGCAUUUUGUCUCAUAGUUCUGUUAGAUAUUUUAGUGUGAAUUAAUGUUUCUCUGUCGAGUACAGCACUUUAUUGUAACAUGCUAGUUAGCAUGUCUCAGAUGAGAGCAUAGGAGCAUGCACGUGGCUUCUCAUGUGGUCCGCUAUCCUUCUCUCUCCCUUGAAGGUGUUCAUGCAGAAGUCCAGUAAAGUGAAGUUGCUGUACUGUUUUGUUUUUAUUUUAAACAGGUAUGUGAGCUCCCUCUUUUAUUUUUGUGUCAUGUGAACUGGUUAUAUCUUCUGUUUGUUUGUGAUUCAUGUUCACUGUUUCAACUUACUGUAAAUAUGUAAAAUUGCCACUGGUAAAUGAAGUCUCCCUAAAGUAUAAUUUUGUUGAUGAGGUAAUUGUCACUAUAUGUUCACGAUGCAGUGCAUUUUUGUUUGUUAUAUAUGAAUAUAAAUACAUUUUAGCAGUAUUAUUUGGUAAUUGGAUUUGUUGUAAUGUUGCACCUCAGUCGCCUAGAGGCCCCGCUGAGGAGAGGUGUUCAUGCAGAAGUCCAGUAAAGUGAAGUUGCUGUACUGUUUUGUUUUUAUUUUAAACAGUUCUGGGAGAAUAAAUCCACCCAGCUGGCAAAGUGAGAGCUGACUCCUCUGGUCAUUCGCACAACACAACGCAGAGAACUAACGGCAAUAAGAGUUUAAGGCCAGACCGGCUACACUGACAUUCAUAACAGCAGCAUUAUUAGAUACACAACAUAAUAGUGUCCAGCUUCAUGCCGACCACAGAGCCCGCCUUCCUGAUUAGUUUCUCCAGCCUGGAUGAGUCCUUCUUUGCUGUGCUGCUCCCCCAGCACACCACGCCAUAGAAAAGUACUCCUGCGACCACCGACUGGUAAAACAUCCUCAGGAGCUUCCUGCAGAUGUUGAAAGACCUCAGCCUCCUGAGGAAGUACAGUCGGCUUUGGCCAUUUUUAUACAGGUGCUGUGUGUUGCAUGACCAGUCCAGUUUGUUGUCCACCCACAGCCCGAGGUACUUGCAUGUGUUGACCACCUCCACCUCCUCUCCCUCUAUCUGAACUGGCAGUGGACCUGGUCUGGACCUCCCGAAAUCCACAACCAGUUCCUUGGUCUUUGAAGUGUUGAGUUUCAGGUGGUUUGUGUGACUCCAUGUGAUAAAGUUCCUCACCAGGCUCCUGUACUCCUCUUCCUGGUCAUCCCAGAUACACCCCAUGAUGGCCGUGUCGUCUGCAAACUUCUGAAUAUGGCAUAAUUCAGAGUUGUAGCAAAAGUGCACUUUAUUGCCAAAUUUUAGUUGUUUAGUUGUUUUCGCAGCUUUCCAGUUGCUGGAGGUUGUAACAGUGUUGAGUUAAGAUUUGAAUUUUGCUGUAAAAAAUUAAAUAAAAGUUUCUUUUUGCUGAAUUUACAUUAAUGAAAUGUUGCAGCUUGAAUGCAUACCACGUUUUCCUGAACUUGAGCUUUAAUUUUAUUUAUUUAAUUGUUUUUUGCUUCUUUUUUUUCCUGCUGGUACUGGCUGGUCUGAAGGUUCAACAGACCCAUUUUUCAGUCUAGCUUUCCCCUGUGCAUCUUCACACAGGAUGACAUUUUUCCGUGGGCUCGGGAAAGAACAACUCGUCCCACACAUCUGUAAAAAAGAAACCUCUCCCCCAGGGUUUAUACUGUUCACUCCAAUGCAAGAGUUUGGCAGUCUUCGCAAUCUGGGAAGCUUACUGGUUUCCAGCACCUAUUGUAUCUUGUAUUUAUUUAAAACAGUGAAAGGAUAAAAUGUGUCCUGUUGUUGUGAUUAGAAAAAUACAUUUAUAUCACCAAAAUACGAACAUUUCCUUAUUAGUGAUCAUUACAUGUAACCUGAAUACUUUUAUCCUUCACAAUUCACAAUUAAACCUUCUGUAUCUAAGGUACAAUUAAAGUCACUGAAUGACAGUAAAACAUCUGUCAUAGAAAACAGUUGAUACCAUUCUCUGUCAGUAGAAGGUGAAGGCAUAACUAUGCAGCAGUACUUAUGCUGUCUUAGGUCAGCAUUAGUACUGCUGUCAAGGCAAAGUACUGAAUCAUCCAAUGAAUAAAGAAAUUGGCCUGUUCUUGUCUCAGGGUGAUUUGGGGCAUAUUUUAAAGAUAUUAGGUGUAGAAAUGUCUGCCUUUUCUUGAAUGUAAUGGAAAUAAAUGUUUUAUCAUGUUAUGUUUUCUUCAGAAGAUUGAAACAGGAGAUGGGUGAUGUUUAAUAAAAGAGAAAAGAGUUCAUAUGUUCAA
ensembl:lncRNA